AUAGCUAUUUGAGACAUGGUUCCGCUAUUUGAACUUGUGUGUAUUUUAGCCGCUAUAGCCCGCUAUAGCCUCAUUUAGCCUGCUAUUAGCUAUUUUUUGAGUCCAGCCGCUAAACCCUUUAACCCGCUAUUUAAAACCAUGUCCGUCCCCCGCCGGGCAACUGGAUCGCCGCCGACCUCCUCCGCGACGCCCUAGCCCUCACGUUCCUUGCCGCCUCCACCACGAGCCAUCGUCUUGCUUGGCAAUGGCAAGUGGGUGCGGGAGAGUGGGUUUACCUGGCGCUUGUCGAGGAAGAGUGCCAUGACCGAGCUUUCUUCCAAGGCUCUUGCUUAUUUCAAAAGAGGCGUUACAAAUCGAGCCAACAGAAAUAUCUUCUUGGGAUGGUUUCAGAAAUCACAUCACAAGCAAAUAUUGGAGGAACUACUACUAAAAUUUUGAAGUCAGGUUCUUACUGCAGAUUGUUGGAAAUCAUUACAAAUAAACUAUCCAAGGUAGUAGGAGCUUGCACCAAACAACAAUCUCAGUAGUAGGCCACUCAAUGGGUAUCUCCAAACCUUUGUAUAUACAGAAGACAGCAAAAUAGAAGGACAACAGCUAGACCUCCUAGAGUUUCAGUGCUUUCUCGAUGCCUCAACGCCUCCAGGUACGCCUUGUGCUCUUGGUUCAGUUUUGGUGGAAUUAAAUAAAACCGAACUGCCCAUAAUACUGUUUAAAACUGGUACAGUGCUAUCUUAAAGCCACUCUACAUUCUUUCUGGUGGCAGAUUAUAGUCUUAGAUGCUCUGCAAUCAAGUCUUUUAAUUGCCUCCAUUGGUUAUUAGUGUAGUGUAUCAUGAUGCGUAUGGAUGCAUCCAUAUCUUAGGAAGUAUGCAUGCAUCUAUAUCUUAGGAACCUUUCAACUGCUAAUGUUGUUCGUUUGGUGCUCGGAUUUUAUGGGCUCAUGAUUGUGGUGAGUUUUUUUUUUUUUUUGAUAUGGGAAGGAUGUUUGGCUCCCAAUCGAGUUAAUUUGUUGUAUCUGAAUAACUUGGCAAUGUACUAUCCCAAAUCUAAACUCUGGAUACAAUAGGAUACAGUGCAUGUUCAGAGAAAUAAAGAUUUUAGAGUCUGUUAGCUCUGUUCUCAUUU